GAUGAACGCUGGCGGCGUGCCUAAUACAUGCAAGUCGAGCGAACGGACGAGAAGCUUGCUUUUCUGAUGUUAGCGGCGGACGGGUGAGUGACACGUGGAUAACCUACCUAUAAGACUGGGAUAACUUCGGGAAACCGGAGCUAAUACCGGAUAAUAUUUUGAACCGCAUGGUUCAAAAGUGAAAGACGGUCUUGCUGUCACUUAUAGAUGGAUCCGCGCUGCAUUAGCUAGUUGGUAAGGUAACGGCUUACCAAGGCAACGAUGCAUAGCCGACCUGAGAGGGUGAUCGGCCACACUGGAACUGAGACACGGUCCAGACUCCUACGGGAGGCAGCAGUAGGGAAUCUUCCGCAAUGGGCGAAAGCCUGACGGAGCAACGCCGAGUGAGUGAUGAAGGUCUUCGGAUCGUAAAACUCUGUUAUUAGGGAAGAACAUAUGUGUAAGUAACUGUGCACAUCUUGACGGUACCUAAUCAGAAAGCCACGGCUAACUACGUG
rnacentral:rRNA from 1 species